ACCGCGGGGAUAGGUCGGCGGAGGGGCGAGGCACCGCCGCCGCCUCCCCGGCCUCCCUCGCGCGUCGUCCAUCGACCACAACCACUGAUCUAAGCGUACAUGGAUGGUGGCAGCGGUGGGGAGGAGCCCUGCGACGACCUCGACGCCUGCUCCGUCGACCACAACCACUGCGUCCGCAAGAAAGCCCCAUGGAUUGGGGAUAUGCACUUCGGUUUUGGGUUCAAAUGGCAAUCGUUGAGCAUUUGUAUCACUAUCGAGGAUCUCAAGCACAUGGGUCACAUUAUGAUCAAGUGCAUUCUGGUGCUAUGAUGAUUGUGACACAAGAUGUUAGCAGCAGAAGCAAUUGCUAUAUUAUAGGAUAUAGAAGGCAGCUUCGCAGAGGGAUCGCUGACGAGCAAGGUGAGGCCAUUGCAUCUAUUAUUCUGUUAUAGUUCGUUUCAAAGAAAUCACACUAUUAUCUCUCAGUAUAUGCCUAUACAGAGAAAUGUCCUG